GCAGAAAAACUAGCUGGGAUAGGCUCCAGCUCGCCCCAUUUAGUAGGAUGAGGUUAGACUUAGGGAUGGAAAAGCUAGCUGGGUUAGGCUCCAGCUCACUGAGAAUAGUGGACGUGCUGUGAAUGAUUGACAACUGAGAAGCGGUAAAGUGCACGAUGUGGAAACUUUGAAAUCAGAGGAGCUCCCACUCGUCAUCGUCAUCAUCGCCGAGGUUGAUCCCAGAAGGGGCGGCUCUACGCUGUGUUUGUGGGAGGAGCUUUGUCAUGCGACGGGCCAACCCGCCGUUGGCAGUGAGCGCCCACAAGUCAUCAUCUGCAGUGACUGAAGGACAGGAAGGAAGAGUCCUAGUUAGCUGGGCGGGUGAGUGAUGCCAAUAAGAAGACCUGUGGAUGUGUCUCACCAGUUAGGUAGUUGGCCUGUCCCGGGAUCUUCUUCCAGUAGUCUCCGGCCGGAUUUCUGUCCGAGACACCGUAACGUCGAGCCAGGUCUCCGUUGGCACAUCGAACCCAAACUGUGCGAGAACUGAGAAGCAGCUGACUGACGGUCAGACCUGAAAGACGGACAGAGAUGUCUGAGGACACCUAGACACAAAGCUGGGGUGAAGACACGUUGAGGCAGACCUUGAACCAGGUCCCAAUCUGUCCCAACAGGCAUGUCUUCACUCAGUCCCGUCCUGACGAACACUCCGCCUCUGUUGUCCAGUGCCCACAGAAGACCAUCAUUUGGACUCGUCUGAAUACUAAUUAGUUGUACUCCGAUAGGCUGCAGGAACAUAAGGUUAUUGUUAACUGGACAGGUACUUGUAGACAGGUAGUGAUACCUGGACAGGUAUUUCUAGACCGGUGAUACCUGGACAGGUACUUCUAGACAGGUGUAACCUGGGAAGAUACCGCUAGAGAGGUGUUAGCUGGACAAGUACUUCUAGAUAGAUGUUACCUGGACAGGUACUUCAAGACAAGUGUUACCUGUACAGAUAUUCCUAGAGAGGUGUUACCUGGACAGGUACUCCUAGAGAGAUGUUUCUGGAUAUGUGUUACCUGGACAAGUAUUUCUAGAUAGGUGUUAUCUCGAGAAGUUUUUCUAGAUAAGAGUUACCUGGAUCGGUACUUCUAAAGAGGUGUUACCUGGACAGGUAUUUCUAGAUAAGUGUUACCUGGACAUGUACUUCUAGAUGUGUAUUACUCGGACAGGCAUUUCUAUGUAUUACCUGGAUAGGUAUCUCUAGAUGAUAGAUACCUGGAAAGGUAUUUCUAGAUAUGUGUUACCUGGACAGGUGGUUGUGGGGUUGUGGUUUUAGACAAUGUCCUACCCGGACAGGUGGUUGUGGAUGUGUGGUUUUAGACCAUGUCCUACCUGGAUUUGUGGUUGUGGAUUUACACAAUGUCCUACCUGGACAGGUGGUUGUGGAUGUGUGGUUUUAGACAAUGUACUGCCUGGACAGGUGGCUGUGGAUGUGUGGUUUUAGACAAUGCCCUACCUAGACAGGUAGUUGUGGAUGUGUGGUUUUAGACAAUGUCCAACUCGGACAGGUGGCUGGAUGUGGAUUCAAGCAAGUAUUCCUAGAUUUAAGUUACCAGGACAGGCACUUCUAGAUAAAAGUUACCAGGACAGGCACUUCUAGAUAAAAGUUACUUGAACAGGUACUUCUGGAUGUGUAUUACUCGGACAGGUUUUGUAUGUAUUACCUGGACAGGUACCUCUAGAUAAUUGAUAACUGGAAAGGUAUUUCUAGAUAUGUGUUACCUGAACAGGUGGUUGUGGAGUUGUGGUUUUUGACAAUGUCUUACCUGGACAGGUGGUUGUGGAUGUGUGGUUUUAGACAAUGUCCUACCUGGACAGGUGGCUGGAUGUGGAUCUAAGCAAGUAUUACUAGAUUUAAGUUACCUACACAGGCAUUUCUCGAUAAAAGUUACUUGAACAGGUACUCCUGGAUGUGUAGUACUUGGACAGGCAUUUGCAUUUAUUACCUGGAAAGGUACCUCGAGAUAAUUAAUACCUGGAAAGGUAUUUCUCGAUACGUGUUACCUGGACAAGUGGUUGUGGAGUUGUGGUUUUAGUUACGGAUGUGUGGUUUUAGACAAUGUCCUACCUGGACACGUGGUUAUGAAUGUGUGGUUUUAGACAAUGUGCUACCUUGACAGGUGGUUGUGGUUUGUGGUUAUAGACAAUGUCCUACCUGGACACGUGGUUAUGAAUGUGUGGUUUUAGACAAUGUCCUACCUUGACAGGUGGUUGUGGUUUUAGACAAUGUCCUACCUGGACAGGUGGCUGGAUGUGGAUCCAAGCAGGUAGCAUCAUGUUCGGGUUGAGUGGUUGUGUUCCAACUCUAAAGUAGACCAGUCCCCGACUGUCCAGGGCCCAAACGUUCUGACUUCCACAGCUCAGGCUGACCAAACGAACACUUCCUGUCUCACACAUACAGGACCUGGACGUGAGUGGAGGACUGACCCACGACUCCACAGUGUCAUUAACCACGACUGUCAUGUUGGCACUGUACACAUUUCAGAAUUAUUUCUAGUUGUAUUGAAGUAUCAGUAGUUGCAUGGAAGUAUCUAUAGUUGUAUUGAAGUAUCUAUAUUUGUAUUGAAGUAGCUAUAGUUGUAUUGAACUACGUUUCUUUAGGUGUAUUAAAGUAUCUAUAGUUAUAUUGAAAUAUCUAUAGUUGUAUUGAAGUAUAUAUAGUUGUAUUAAAGUAUAACAAGUGUUAGCUAAUACGAGCAUGGAACAGACACAUUAGCUAAUGUUAACAAGUAAUAAGUGUUAGCUAAUAUGAGCAUGUAACAGACACAUUAGCUACUGUUAGCACGUAACAAGUGUUAGCUAAUAUGAGCAUGUAACAGAAACAUUAGCUCAUGUUAGCACAUAACAAAAGUUAGCUAAUAUGAGCUUGUAACAGACAUGUCGGCUAAUGUUAGCACAUAACAGGUGUUUGCUAAUAUAAGCAUGUAGCACAGGGGUCGGCAACCCAAAAUGUUGAAAGAGCCAUAUUGGACCCAAAAUGCAAAAACAAAUCUGUCUGGAGCCGCAAAAAAUUAAAAGCCAUAUUACAUACAGAUAGUGUGUCAUGAGAUUUAAAUUCAAUAAUGACGACUUAAAGGAAACUAAAUGAGCUCAAAAAUAGCUACAAAUGAGGCAUAGUAAUGCAAUAUGUACAUAUAGCUUGCCUAAAUAGCAUGUUAGAAUCGAUUAGCUUACAGUCAUGCAGUGACCAAAUAUGCCUGAUUAGCACACUCCACACAAGUCAAUAACAUCAACAAAACUCACAUUUUACGUUUAUAAGUUUGGUGGACAAAAUGAGACAGAAAAAGAAAUGGCAUAAAUCACGUCUUAGAAAGUCGGAGAAAGUUAUACAUGUAAACAAACUACGGUGAGUUCAAGGACCGCCAAAAUUAGUAGGACAAAACGGCGCUCGCCAAAUACUCAAAAUCAGUGAAGCAUGUUAAAUAUAAACAGUGUGCUUUAUAGCAAUUAGGGAGGUUUGUGUCAUGUUUGUCUUCCUACAGAAACCAAAUUAAAACAAAAAAUAGUUUUUUUCCCCUCAUCAUUUUCAUUUUUCAUAUAUUUUUGAAAAAGCUCCAGAGAACCACUAGGGCGGCGGUAAAGAGCCGCGGGUUGCCGACCCCUGAUGUAGCAGACACAUCAGUUAAUGUUAGCACGUAAAAAGUGUUGGCCAAUAUGAGCAUGAAACAGACACGUUAGCUCAUGUUAGCAUGUAAAAAGUGUUAGUUAAUAUGAGCUUGUAACAUACACAUUAGCUAAUGUUAGCAUGUAACAAGUGUUACCUAAUAUGAGCAUGUAGCUUAUGUUAGCACAUAACAAGUGUUAACUAAGCAUGUAACAGACAUAUUAGCUAAUUUUAGAACAUAACAAGCGUUAGCUAUUAUGAGCUUGUAACCGACACAUUAGCUAAUGUUAGCAUGUAAAAAGUGUUAGCUAAUAUGAGCUUGUAACAUACACAUUAGGUAAUGUUAGCAUGUAACAAGUGUUACCUAAUAUGAGCAUGUAGCUUAUGUUAGCACAUAACAAGUGUUAACUAAGCAUGUAACAGACAUAUUAGCUAAUUUUAGAACAUAACAAGCGUUAGCUAUUAUGAGCUUGUAACCGACACAUUAGCUAAUGUUAGCAUGUAAAAAGUGUUAGCUAAUAUGAGCUUGUAACAUACACAUUAGGUAAUGUUAGCAUGUAACAAGUGUUACCUAAUAUGAGCAUGUAGCUUAUGUUAGCACAUAACAAGUGUUAACUAAGCAUGUAACAGACAUAUUAGCUAAUUUUAGAACAUAACAAGCGUUAGCUAUUAUGAGCUUGUAACCGACACAUUAGCUAAUGUUAGCAUGUAAAAAGUGUUAGCUAAUAUGAGCUUGAAACAUACACAUUAGGUAAUGUUAGCAUGUAACAAGUGUUACCUAAUAUGAGCAUGUAGCUUAUGUUAGCACAUAACAAGUGUUAACUAAGCGUGUAACAGACAUAUUAGCUAAUUUUAGAACAUAACAAGCGUUAGCUAAAUAUGAGCUUGUAACCGACACGUUAGCCAACGUUAGCACAUAACAAGUCUUAGCUAAUAUGAGCAUGUAUCAGACAUGUUAGCUAAUGUUAGCACAUAAGUGUUUGCAGAGAAGAUCUAACAAGUAUUAGAGGUGAAGGACUUGUUGAUAUUGCUGACAUGUCAAAGUGGGACAAAAAGGACGUGACCAGUCAUGUGCUCCAUGGUACCAAGAAGAACCACUAAAAACAGACCUGACCUUCUCGUCUGCAGACCUUACACACACACACACACGCACGCACACACACACACACACACACACACACACACACACACACACACACACACACACACACACACACACACACGCACACACACACACACACGCACACACGCACACGCACACACGCACACCCCUCCCCCCCCCACACACACACCCGACGUCUACUUUACACACAACUUAUGCAACACUCAGCUGUCACUGCAACACAGACAAACAGGUGAGUGUGUUUGUGUGUGUGUGUGUGCAUGUGUGUGUGCUCUGGCAAUGCUUACUUAAUGGGGACAUCACUCUGUUUACACAGUCACUGUUAGGGGACUUCUUACAGUAUGGGGACAAAAAAACCUAAAGGGAAACCUUUUAAAAUGAUAGUCAGAUCCAUUCUUUAGAUGCCUAGGUGAUUUUUAAGCUAUGGCUCAUAAAACAUGUUGACUGGUUAGUUUGAGUGUGAGACAUUUGCACAGCAGCCCCAUCAUCGGGCUUUAGCUGGUAUUACACUCGCUGCUCUGCUCACACUUCUUCCGUGUAUAGUUAAUCACUUCCACCUGGUCCCCAUAACGAAGGUGGUUUGUCUGCAUGAGACGUCGGCUAAUGGGAUACGAAAAUAAGCUGUAUGAACCAAAAGAUAAGCACAUCUUUCCCAUAAAUGGAUGUUAUUGCCUAUCAUUUGUACAGAACAAUUUGUUCAUAACCAAGUUAAGCCAAAAAAAUCCAUCCAUCCAUCCAUCCAUUUUAUAUAUGUAUUAUACUGUAUAUGUGUAUAUAUAAUAUAUACAUAUAUAUAUACAAACCUUGUUUCCAUAUGAGUUGGGAAAUUGUGUUAGAUGUAAAUAUAAACGGAAUACAAUGAUUUGCAAAUCAUUUUCAACCCAUAUUCAAUUGAAUAUGCUACAAAAACAACAUAUUUGAUGUUCAAACUGAAACCAUUUUUUUUUGCAAAUAAUCAUUAACUUUAGAAUUGUCUGCCAGCAACACGUGACAAAGAAGUUGGGAAAGGUGGCAAUAAAUACUGAUAAUGUUGUGGAAACCGAAGAGGACAAAAACUGUUAAUUUCUUGAAAAUGAAUUUUUUCUGACGUAGGUAUCCUCAGGAGAUCGUGCAGUGAGAAACUCUUCCAAAAGGUAAAGCUGCCCAGAAAAGAACACCCUGGGAAGAGAAAGAGGUGAAGGCUGUCGAGAAGCACAUGAAGCGAUUCAUCUCUUCUGGUAUUAUACCAGCAAAGAGUGACUGUUUAAAAUGUUUGAGGGCCGAACCGGAAGCUCUCCAUUACGGCCUACAAACGGAGAUCGCAGGUAAAAUAGUAGAUUAUAAGAUAAUCAGCAGUUUUUUAUGUUCUUUAUGUUCAAUGUUGUUAAAAAUAAAAGUUUAAAUGAGUUUUUAUUUUAUUUCUGUGGUUUAAGGUAAGAUAAGAUAAUUCUUUAUUGAUCCCACAACAGGGAAAUUUGAGUUACUUUGUUUACAUGUUUCAAACAUUGGUAAAAGGAAAAAUUAAUUAUCUUGAAAAGUGAAAAAUUUGUUAUCCUGGCAUUAAUAGUAUUGUGAUUCUGUAUGGUAUCCAUCCUUAGAUAAAAGUUAUAUAUUUUUCCAAGAACAAAAUCUGGUUUUGUGUUCCUUAGGGUUAAAUUUUCUUACAGCAGGAUUAUAAAACAUUAUUACCUUAAAGUAUGAUUCGCAUUCAGAAUUUUCCAUCCUUCUAUAUAUUGUAGUUGAAGUUGCAGACAACUUCAUUACUGCUAAAUAGCAGUUUUCAGUAAUGUCACAGAAGAUGCAGGAUUUGCAUCUGCAUCAUCAUGCAUUUGCUGGUAUCCGGCAAGGACAAGUCACAGGUGGAACAAAUCCUCAGUGCUGAACUCCUCAAUAUUUGCACCUGGCUCGCUGACAACAAGCUAUCCAUACACUUAGGUAAAACGGAAUCCAUCCUAUUUGGGUCCCAUAUCAAACUUAAGAAGGUCAGUGACUUCACUAUAAAAGUGGGUGUCAUUGUUAUCACCAAGAAGGAUGAGAUCACCUACCUAGGUUCCAUUCUAGAGGCUAAUCUUUCCUGUGAUAAAAUGGCAACCAGAGUGAUCAAAAAGGUCAACCAAAGAACGAGAUUCCUCUACAGAAUCUCCUCUCUGGUCAACAAAAGCACCUUGAGGAUUCUAGCGGGAACUCUCAUUCAACCCUUCUUUGAUUACGCUUGCAGCUCCUGGUACCCCAGCACCUCCAAACCCCUCAAAUCUAGACUCCAAACAUCCCAGAAUAAGCUAGUCCGGUUACUUUUAGACCUCCACCCCAGAUCACACCUCAAUCCAACCCACUUCUCCAAAGUGGGCUGGCUCAGGGUGGAGGACAGAGUAAAACAACUUGCACUGAGCCUAGUCUAUAAAAUCCGCUACACCUCCUUGAUACCGAAGUACAUGUCAAACUACUUCCUUAACGUAAAUGACCACCAUAACCACAACACCAGGGGGAGCUCCACAAACCACGUUAAACCCAGAUUCCGAUCUAACAAAGGUCUUAACUCAUUGUCUUUCUAUGCCACAUCAAUGUGGAAUACACUCCCAACAGGUAUAAAAGUAAGUGCAUCUCUAUAUUCCUUCAAAACCGCUCUAAAACAACACCUCCAGGCAACUUCAACACUUUACUAAUACCCUCCUCCAUUCACAUCCCAUCUCCCCGGAUUAUAAACAACUCAAAUGUACUUCUAAUGUAUAUACUUGUUCUUAUGCUAUCUGAACUCACCAUGUUCUCCGCUGGCUGUACAUAUCCUACUAAAUAAGACCUACACUUUCAAUGUCUACAUUUCUCUGUUGAUGCAAUUGUUGAUGACUGAAAUUCUGAUAUUAACCAAAGCUCCUCAUCCCACCCCCCGGAUUGUAAAUAAUGUAAAUAAUUCAAUGUACAUACUAUGAUGAUUAACUUGUGUGAUGACUGUAUUAUGUUGAUAGUAUAUAUUUGUACCAUGAAUUGAUUAACGUGGACCCCGACUUAAACAAGUUGAAAAACUUAUUUGGGUGUUACCAUUUAGUGGUCAAUUGUACGGAAUAUGUACUGAACUGUGCAAUCUACUAAUAAAAGUAUCAAUCAAUCAAUCAAUCAAUCAAUUUGUUUUAAAAAUUUAGUGGCGAAACUUCCUAUAAGAGGACAGCUGUAGUGCUGUAUUCUGAUGAAUAUGUCAUAUUUAAUUUGAACUUUUUAUUUUUUUUCAAAUGGUCCUCAGUAGUCACGUACAAAUUUGUGUGAAUUAUGCAAAAUCAUUUA